AUUGAACGCUGGCGGCAGGCCUAACACAUGCAAGUCGAACGGUAACAGGAAACAGCUUGCUGUUUCGCUGACGAGUGGCGGACGGGUGAGUAAUGUCUGGGAAACUGCCUGAUGGAGGGGGAUAACUACUGGAAACGGUAGCUAAUACCGCAUAACGUCGCAAGACCAAAGAGGGGGACCCUCGGGCCUCUUGCCAUCGGAUGUGCCCAGAUGGGAUUAGCUUGUUGGUGGGGUAACGGCUCACCAAGGCGACGAUCCCUAGCUGGUCUGAGAGGAUGACCAGCCACACUGGAACUGAGACACGGUCCAGACUCCUACGGGAGGCAGCAGUGGGGAAUAUUGCACAAUGGGCGCAAGCCUGAUGCAGCCAUGCCGCGUGUAUGAAGAAGGCCUUCGGGUUGUAAAGUACUUUCGGCGGGGAGGAAGGGAGUAAAGUUAAUACCUUUGCUCAUUGACGUUACCCGCAGAAGAAGCACCGGCUAACUCCGUG
rnacentral:rRNA from 1 species